ACGGAAGAUGCGAGCGUUAUCCGGAUUUAUUGGGUUUAAAGGGAGCGUAGGCGGGCUUUUAAGUCAGCGGUCAAAUGUCACGGCUCAACCGUGGCCAGCCGUUGAAACUGCAAGCCUUGAGUCUGCACAGGGCACAUGGAAUUCGUGGUGUAGCGGUGAAAUGCUUAGAUAUCACGAAGAACUCCGAUCGCGAAGGCAUUGUGCCGGGGCAUAACUGACGCUGAGGCUCGAAAGUGCGGGUAUCAAACAG
rnacentral:rRNA from 2 species